rnacentral:rRNA from 1 species
UGAGAGUGGCGGACGGGCGAGUAACGCGUGAGCAACCUGCCCUAUGCAGGGGGAUAACACCGGGAAACCGGUGCUAAUACCGCAUAAGACCACACUACCGCAUGGUAGAGUGGUAAAAGCUGAGGCGGCAUAGGAUGGGCUCGCGUCCAAUUAGCUAGUUGGUAGGGUAACGGCCUACCAAGGCGACGAUUGGUAGCCGAACUGAGAGGUUGGUCGGCCGCAUUGGGACUGAGACACGGCCCAGACUCCUACGGGAGGCAGCAGUGGGGAAUAUUGCGCAAUGGGGGAAACCCUGACGCAGCGACGCCGCGUGAAGGAAGAAGGCCUUCGGGUUGUAAACUUCUUUGAUCGGGGACGAAGAUGACGGUACCCGAGGAACAAGCCACGGCUAACUACGUGCCAGCAGCCGCGGUAAUACGUAGGUGGCGAGCGUUGUCCGGAAUUACUGGGUGUAAAGGGCGUGUAGGCGGGGCGCCAAGUCAGGUGUGAAAUUCCGGGGCUUAACUCCGGGUAUGCACCUGAAACUGGUACUCUUGAGUGUCGGAGAGGAAAGUGGAAUUCCCAGUGUAGCGGUGAAAUGCGUAGAGAUUGGGAGGAACACCAGUGGCGAAGGCGGCUUUCUGGACGAUAACUGACGCUGAGGCGCGAAAGCGUGGGGAGCAAACAGGAUUAGAUACCCUGGUAGUCCACGCUGUAAACGAUGGAUACUAGGUGUAGGAGGUAUCGACCCCUUCUGUGCCGGAGUUAACACAAUAAGUAUCCCACCUGGGGAGUACGGCCGCAAGGCUGAAACUCAAAGGAAUUGACGG